UCUCCGUAGGUGAACCUGCGGAGGGAUCAUUACUGAGUGAGGGUUUAACCGCCCGACCUCCAACCCUUUGUGAACACAACUUGUUGCUUCGGGGGCGACCCUGCCGUCCGCGGCUGAGCGCCCCCGGAGGCCAUUAAACACUGCAUCAUUGCGUCGGAGUUAAAGUAAAUUAAACAAAACUUUCAACAACGGAUCUCUUGGUUCCAGCAUCGAUGAAGAACGCAGC
rnacentral:misc_RNA from 1 species